rnacentral:lncRNA from 1 species
GUGGUUGCCAAAGGACAGGUUGGGAUUUGCAGAUGCAAUCUAUUAUCUACAGAAUGGAUAAACAACAAGGUCUUACUAUAUAGCACAGGGAACUAUAUUCAAUAUCCUUUGGUGAACUAUCAUGAAAAAGAAUAUGAAAAAGAGCAUAUGUAUAUUGUUGUUGUUUAGUCACUAAGUCGUGUCCAACUCCUGUGACCCCCUUGGACUGUAGCUUGCCAGGCUCCUCUAUCCAUGGGAUUUCCCAGGCAAGAAUACUGGAGUGGGUUGUCAUUUCUUUCAUACAUACAUACAUAUACAUAUAUAUCAUAUAUAAAAUAGUGACUGUAGUAGACAAAUACUAAAAUCUCAGUGGCUUAACAAUAUGAAAGUUUAUUUUUUGUUCAUGUUACAAUGCUAUGCAGGUUGGUAGAGAGGACACUGCCCCACACAAUCUAGGGCCCAGAUUCCUCCAUCUACAGGACCCACUCUUCUCUGGUGCUUAGAGCCUGCUCCAUAGCCAGAGAUUGUGGGUUCAUGUCCCAUCUGAAGCACAACUGGGUUCGAGUCCCAGUCUGAGUUGUUUGGUUUCAGCAGCACUAGACACAUUUCAAGUGCUCAACAGCCAUUUGAACAGCGUGUAUGAUAAAACAAUGCCGUCAUCAGUUCUACUGGACAGCCUCGCAUGGAUCUUGGUGACUACUCUAAAAAUGAAGGCUGAUCCUACGUCCCUCUUUGUCCCGCCGGAAUUCUAAGGCUCCUACUGCCUAAACGCUGAUGUUUUGGGCAAGCAUAAACGACGUCAGUAGCCGGGAGGAAAGAGAAAUACACCUCCACGGGCAUACCGUCUGUGAAGAUUCUGGGAUGUUUCAGGCUGAAGGCGUUCCCAAGAACUUUGAACUCAUUGGCUGGUGGUGGAGGGACGGGUUGCCAACGCUUUACUCUGAUUGGGUAUUUUCCCUUAGCGGAAAACCAAUCAUUGAGGGAGAUGGGGGCGGGGCCAGGCUCGCAGUACAGGCCCCGCCCAGCGUUCCGGAGCCCACCCACCUCCCUGGCGGGUCGGAUUGGCGCAGGAUGGCGGAGGGCAGGAGCCUGCCUGAGGUGCGUGCGCUGGUUGGGGCUUCACAUGGCAUCACUGACCUGGCCCACAAGCUUCACUUCUAUGACCAAUGGGCUCCGAACUAUGACCAGGUAAAUCAGCCAUGUCCUCACCUCUGCUCUCCUCCGCUCACCUGGCCUGUUUUCCUGUCUGUAAAGCCGGAAUAGUAAGCAAGCCUAGCAUCAUCCCAGGGAGAUGAAUGUGAGAGUGAAGUAAGAUUUGGGUGCAACCUCCAGUCCUGUCUGCUCUCCAUCCGACUCCUCUUCAGCCCAACCACAGUGGCCCUGCCCUCUGAUCCUCUUCCAGACUGGCAGCCCCUAGAGACCAGGAGCCAAGACCUCCUCACCCAGGUACAGGAGUCCAGGCAGAGGAGCUGCCUG